rnacentral:misc_RNA from 1 species
CCUGAGUUUACAACUCCCAAACCCCUGUGAACAUACCUAUGUUGCCUCGGCGGAUCAGCCCGCGCCCGUAAAACGGGACGGCCCGCCAGAGGAACCCUAAACUCUGUUUCUAUAGUGGAACUUCUGAGUAAAAACCAUAAUAAAUCA